CUAUUUCAACUGAAGACUCAUAUGUUGGAUUCAUAUUUAUGGUUCUACAGUGCCGUAAUAUGAAUCGAAUAGAUGGGUCAUCUAUUGCAAUAUAUGACCCAUCUGUUGUAACAAAUUAGUUAUAUAGUGCAACAUGAUAAAAAUUUAUUGCAAUAGAUUAGUAACCUGUUGCAACCAAACCUGAACUCGAUUCUAAUAGACGUGU
rnacentral:lncRNA from 1 species